rnacentral:sRNA from 1 species
GUAGAUGCUCAUUCCACUCAUUAUGAUAGCAAUGCUUCAUAAACCUAGGAAUGAUGCAAAGCCGAUUAUCGGUGCCUAUUGUCCAAUAUAGAUGAACAAGAGCUCAUCCUCUUCUCAUCAACCCAUGGACGAAACGUUGAGUGAGGCACCAUCCGUCUGUAGACCUGAUUG